UCCUUCGAAUAGGGUCCGCUACUCUGGGAGGUUUGUGUUGACUACAGACUUUGCCAAGGUGAAGGGAUCAGUGUGUUCGCUGACGUUCUGUGUUCUGAGCAGCGGGUUCUGAGUUCCAGCAUCAGGAGCCUCCAUGACCAGCCUGACCUGAGCACCUACAGGCAGCACCAGCAUGGGUACUACAAGAGGGCAUACACACUACUCAGACUAUGAUGAAAUUAAUGGCCUGAUUCUUCACCCUUGUUGGUAUCCACCAUCUCAGCCAUGCAACUUUGCACUGCUCUACUACUCAGCAGCAGGUCAAGUGCUGACCCAGCACCCCUUUGCACCAGUCUUUCAAACCCUGGCCACACUAACUAAUCAACCUGAUUGCUGUUUAUACCAAGAUCUAGACCAUACAAAGCAACCUGAAUUCAUUUUCAUCCCUGCUGAUGUCAGUGCCUGGUGGAACCAAUCUGGAAAAAGCAUGAAUGAUAAUAUGUGGUACCCACAGCCAGAGAAGAAGCAACAUACGACUUCACCUGCUGGUGAGACAACUGGUCUGUAAAAACUGUGGAGAUAUCUUUUGCUCAGGGACACAUAACAACCAGAUAUGUGAAUAUGCCAGUGAAGAGGACAAGACAUGACAAUCCCCAGGCUGGAAGGUCACAGGUUCUAACCUGACUGUCUAUAAAUAAUACUGGUCUUUUUAUCUUGUGUGGUAAUAAGGUAUACAAAUGGUUCCCACUCAAAUGGUUAGGAUGCUAUAGUCUUGGCUAUCUGACACGCUCUAUUACCAAGUAUUCCACUUUAAAUUCCAGUCAAAUUACAAUCUUGGGCUCUGUUGCUCAUAAGGUUGUACCUUAUAAACAUACAAAAUGUGACAUUAUAAAAAAUCCCCUUGUAUAUCAUAACUCAAAGUUCUUUUCAAUGCUCAGGAUCCUUUAUUCAGCAUUUGGAACUUAACAGAAUUGAAAGUGCAGUCAUAAAUCUCUCCAUGGUAAUAGAAUAAGAGCUAAACAUCACCAUGUGGGCAUUGGGAACACUUCAAGCAGAGGUUAACAGCCUAGCAUCUGUUGUAAUUCAAAAUCACCACAUCCUGGAUGCUUUGAUAGCUCAACAAAGAAGAGCUUGUGCUGUUAUUUGGGGGAAAAUGUUGUUUUUGCAUAAAUCAGUCAGGGA